UACGAAUAAGGAUCGGCUAACUCCGUGCCAGCAGCCGCGGUAAUACGGAGGAUCCGAGCGUUAUCCGGAUUUAUUGGGUUUAAAGGGAGCGUAGGUGGAUUGUUAAGUCAGUUGUGAAAGUUUGCGGCUCAACCGUAAAAUUGCAGUUGAAACUGGCAGUCUUGAGUACAGUAGAGGUGGGCGGAAUUCGUGGUGUAGCGGUGAAAUGCUUAGAUAUCACGAAGAACUCCGAUUGCGAAGGCAGCUCACUAGACUGCAACUGACACUGAUGCUCGAAAGUGUGGGUAUCAAACAGGAUUAGAUACCCUGGUAGUCCACACAGUAAACGAUGAAUACUCGCUGUUUGCGAUAUACAGUAAGCGGCCAAGCGAAAGCAUUAAGUAUUCCACCUGGGGAGUACGCCGGCAACGGUGAAACUCAAAGGAAUUGACGGGGGCCCGCACAAGCGGAGGAACAUGUGGUUUAAUUCGAUGAUACGCGAGGAACCUUACCCGGGCUUGAAUUGCAACUGACGGAAUUGGAAACAGUUCUUUCUUCGGACAGUUGUGAAGGUGCUGCAUGGUUGUCGUCAGCUCGUGCCGUGAGGUGUCGGCUUAAGUGCCAUAACGAGCGCAACCCUUAUCUUUAGUUACUAACAGGUCAUGCUGAGGACUCUAGAGAGACUGCCGUCGUAAGAUGUGAGGAAGGUGGGGAUGACGUCAAAUCAGCACGGCCCUUACGUCCGGGGCUACACACGUGUUACAAUGGGGGGUACAGAAGGCAGCUACCUGGUGACAGGAUGCUAAUCCCAAAAACCUCUCUCAGUUCGGAUCGAAGUCUGCAACCCGACUUCGUGAAGCUGGAUUCGCUAGUAAUCGCGCAUCAGCCAUGGCGCGGUGAAUACGUUCCCGGGCCUUGUACACACCGCCCGUCAAGCCAUGAAAGCCGGGGGUACCUGAAGUACGUAACCGCAAGGAGCGUCCUAGGGUAAAACUGGUAAUUGGGGCUAAGUCGUAACAAGGUAGCCGUACCGGAAGGUGCGGCUG
rnacentral:rRNA from 1 species